CACAGUCUACACUCUGAACCCUUCCUUUAAAGCAAAGCCAAAACAAAAAAAAAGAAAGAAAAAAAGAAAGAAAAAGCAAGCAAGGUGAAUGCCAGUUUGAUUGGUGGCAGGCUGCAGAUUCUGAAGGCUGUUCUCCAUCAGAGCUUGCACAGCGAGGACCGUUGUUUUGCAUGGGCAGCACGAAGCACAAAGGAGGUGCUCAGGCCUCACCUCGCACAUUUAAUCACUCCUGUGAAUGGGUGUCAUUGAGGUCCUGGCAGCCCAGCCCCAGCAUGCAGCAUCCCCCCGAGGUACUAUUGCCAUGUGAGCUGCAAGACGGCACAGAGAAGCAGAUCCUUUUAUUCCUCCUUUCCCAGAUGACCAGCCAGUGCUUUAAGAAAGAAUGAACAUCAGAUCUUCUGAGCAUGCAAAGCAACAAGGCAUCAAGGCAGCAGUGACACAAGCAGUAAUAUCCUUCGGUAAAUGCCGCUCAAUGCAGCAGGGCUUCCGAGCGAUUAAAGGAGUCUUGGAAAUGUCA